rnacentral:lncRNA from 1 species
GUUCUGUUAUAAAAUAAUGGAAUGGACAGGGGGUCGAGGUUUGGAUCAUUUCUUACUAGUAGUUCUCAUGUUGAAAUGUAUAUUUUCCUUCUGUCAUGGUUUAAGGCAAAUCCAAAAGUAUCCCUCGGGUGCUGCCUGUACUCAGGGGCUUGUGCUGCAAGACUUAGGAAGGCCACUCACGCGCAGCCCUAGGGGCGCGGGAGGGAGAAGGCUGGAAGGAGUCACCCGGGACCGCACCACUCGCGCGCGCCGCUCAGCCCUUCGCCGUCCGGGAGUAGGCUUCCCAGUCAACUCCUCCCGGGAGCUCGUCUCCCGACUACCCCACGGGACGCCGGCGCCAACGCCAGCGGCAAUCCCAAGCAGUC